CUUAUCAUGCAGUCGUGGGGCAGCAGGGGUGUAGCAAUACACUCGCUGGCGACCGGCAAACGGGUGCGGAACACGUACGCAAUCUACCCAAAACUGGUGAAUAGCCCUCCGAAAGGAGGAUUAAUACACCGUAAUUUAAUGAGGUGGCAUCACUUUAUUAAUAUAGCUCCGGCGGUUUUGGAUGAGCGUGCGGCUGAUUAGGUAGUUGGCGGGGUAACGGCCCACCAAGCCUGCGAUCAGUAACUGGUGUGAGAGCACGACCAGUCACACGGGCACUGAGACACGGGCCCGACUCCUACGGGAGGCAGCAGUAAGGAAUAUUGGUCAAUGGACGCAAGUCUGAACCAGCCAUGCCGCGUGGAGGAUGAAGGCCCUCUGGGUUGUAAACUUCUUUUAUAGGGGACGAAACCUCUUUUUCCAAAGAGACUGACGGUACCCUAGGAAUAAGCACCGGCUAACUCCGUGCCAGCAGCCGCGGUAAUACGGAGGGUGCAAGCGUUAUCCGGAUUCACUGGGUUUAAAGGGUGCGUAGGAGGGCAGGUAAGUCAGUGGUGAAAUCUCCAAGCUUAACUUGGAAACUGCCGUUGAUACUAUCUGUCUUGAAUAUUGUGGAGGUGAGCGGAAUAUGUCACGUAGCGGUGAAAUGCUUAGAUAUGACAUAGAACACCAAUUGCGAAGGCAGCUCGCUACUCAAUUAUUGACUCUGAGGCACGAAAGCGUGGGGAUCAAACAGGAUUAGAUACCCUGGUAGUCCACGCCCUAAACUAUGGAUACUCGACAUACGCGAUAUACAGUGUGUGUCUGAGCGAAAGCAUUAAGUAUCCCACCUGGGAAGUACGACCGCAAGGUUG
rnacentral:rRNA from 1 species